GACAGAGGGUGCAAACGUUGUUCGGAAUUACUGGGCGUAAAGCGCGUGUAGGCUGCCUUGUAAGUCGGAUGUGAAAGCCCCGGGCUCAACCUGGGAAGUGCAUUCGAAACUGCGAGGCUUGAGUCCUGGAGAGGAAGGCGGAAUUCUCGGUGUAGAGGUGAAAUUCGUAGAUAUUCGCAAGAACACCAGUGGCGAAGGCGGCUCACUGGCCCGGUACUGACGCUGAGGUGCGAAAGCGUGGGGAGCAAACAGG
rnacentral:rRNA from 1 species